GAAAGAGAAAUCGGUGAGAGAUGGAUCCGCGUCCGAUUAGCUAGUUGGAGGGGUAACAGCCCACCAAGGCGACGAUCGGUAGCCGACCUGAGAGGGUGGACGGCCACAUUGGGACUGAGACACGGCCCAAACUCCUACGGGAGGCAGCAGUGGGGAAUAUUGCACAAUGGGGGAAACCCUGAUGCAGCAACGCCGCGUGAGUGAGGAAGUAUUUCGGUAUGUAAAGCUCUAUCAGCAGGGAAUAGAAAAGAAGGUACCUGAAAAAGAAGCCCCGGCUAACUACGUGCCAGCAGCCGCGGUAAUACGUAGGGGGCAAGCGUUAUCCGGAUUUACUGGGUGUAAAGGGAGCGUAGACGGAAAGGCAAGUCAGAAGUGAAAACCCAAGGCUCAACCAUGGGACUGCUUUUGAAACUGUCAAACUAGAGUACGGGAGAGGUAAGAGGAAUUCCUAGUGUAGCGGUGAAAUGCGUAGAUAUUAGGAGGGACACCAGUGGCGAAGGCGUCUUACUGGACCGAAACUGACGUUGAGGCUCGAGAGCGUGGGGAGCAAACAGGAUUAGAUACCCUGGUAGUCCACGCGGUAAACGAUGAAUACUAGGUGUUGGGGUAAAGAAACCUCG
rnacentral:rRNA from 1 species